ensembl:lncRNA
AUGUAUAUGAAAACAAAACUAUGGAAAAAAAUGAAAAAGAGAAUGAAAAAAAAAAAUUAUUUAGAAAUAGCAAAAAAAGAAAAAGAUUUAUUAUAUAGCAAAUUAAUAAAUAAUAAUUCAAUAGUAAAUAAUAGUAGUACAUUCGAUUUAUUUGGUGUUUUUUAUGAUAAUAAAAAUUAUAAAGAUGAAAAAAAAAUAAUAUCCGAAAUUAAUAAAAUGUUAAACUUAGAACCUUUUAAAAGUACUAAUAAAGUCAAUAUACUUGAACACAUUGACAGUCUUUUAAAUUUAAAGACUGAUAAAUUACCAGUACAUAUUCGUAACUUUCUUAUAAAAUAUAGAAGUAUAGCAAAAAAAAUUUAUUCCAUGAAAAAAAAAAAAAAAAAUUAUGAAGAAGGGGAAGGGGAAAAAUCAGAAAGUAGUAAUAAAUAUACGUUAGAAAGGGAUAGCGAAAGUUGUAGCGAAAAUAAAUGUGAGGAUGGUAGUGAGGAUGGUCAAACUGAGUACCCCGAUUUUUAUAAAGACGUUAACAAGGUAAUUAUGAGUUUUAAUAAAAAAUUUAAUAAUCAGGAAUUAAUAAAAAAAGAUCAAUUUCUGAUUGACGAAUUAUAUGAAGAAUACGAAAAACAUAUUCAAAAUAUGAAUUUAAAAAAGAAUAAAUUAGAACCACAAAAUCAUAAUUAUGACUUUUUAACAUAUGUUCAUGAACACAUUGAAAAUUUUCUUUUUUAUAAAUAUGGAAAAUUUAAUUAUGAUUUUCAUGAACAAGUGCAAAAGGUGCAAACUGAAAUAAAAAAUAAAAAUGACAAUAAAAAAGAUGAAAAUUGUAAUGACGAAAGAAUGUUAGAACUUGUUGAAGGGGAGCGAUCUGAUCAUAGUGACAUUAGUAGUGAUAGUAGUAGUGAUAGUAGUAGUGAUAGUAGUAGUGAUAGUAGUAACCCAAAGAGUCAAUCCACUAUUCCGCUUAUAGAUAAUAAUAAUAAUAAUAAAAAAAAGGAAAGUAUUUUAAACAAACUAAAAGUAAACAAACAGUUGAAAAAUGCUGUUCUUUCAGAUAUAAUAGAAAACUAUCAUAAAAAAAUGUAUGACAUUUACAAACCUACCAAUUUAAUAACAAAUGAAUAUGGUUUUAAUAAUUAUAUAAGUAAUGAAGAAUAUGAUAAAGAAAUUAAUGUAUCUUUAAAUAAAUAUAGUAUAUUAAAUUAUGAUUCGAAAGAAGAGUUUAAUAAUGAUGAAAGUUUAUAUGUUGGUAAAUUAAUAUUUGGUAAAAUAUUUAAAAUAGAAAAAAAUUUUGCAUAUGUAGAUAUAAAUUAUUGUUUAUAUGGAGAAUUACAUAAUAGCCAAAUGCCAUAUAAUAUAACUAAUAUAAAAGAUGUAUUAAAAAUAAAUGAUAAAUUAAUAUUUGAAAUUUAUAAAAUAUAUCCUGAUCGAAUAGAAUUAACAUUAAAAAAUAUACAAAAAAUUAAUGAUUUAAAUAAAAUAUUAUUAUAUAAAACACAAGAAAAACCAUUUGAUGUAUUAGUUGUUUCUAUUUUAAAAAAUGGAGUAAGUGUAACUUAUAAUGAUAUAUUUUCAUUUAUACAUGUAUCUGCUUUAUCAUAUAAAUAUAAAACUACAGAAAAUAAAAUAAUAAGUGAUAAUAUAUUAAAUAAACAUAUUAAAGUUUUAUGUACUGAUAUUCAAAAAUUAAGUUUUUCAAAUAUAUUGUAUGAACAAAAUGAACAGUUAAAAGAUAUAAACAUAUAUGAUAUAAUUGAAGUUGAAGUUAUACAUAUAUCAAAAUAUGGAUUAAUGGUUAAAUAUAAAGACAUAGUAGGAUUAAUACAUAUAUCCGAAAUAUCUAAAAAAAAAAUUGAAAACAUAAAUAAUAUAUUUAAAAUUAAUGAUAAAUUAAAAGGUAUUAUAAUUAAUAUUGAUUAUAAUAAUAAAAGAUUUUCAUUAUCAACUAAAUUAUUAGAAACUGAUAAAAAAAAUAUUAUCGAUCAUCGCUCG